UGCAGUCGAGCGGUAGAGAAAGCUUGCGUUUCUUGAGAGCGGCGGACGGGUGAGUAAUGCCUAUGAAUCUGCCUGGUAGUGGGGGAUAACGUCCGGAAACGGACGCUAAUACCGCAUACGUCCUACGGGAGAAAGCAGGGGACCUUCGGGCCUUGCGCUAUCAGAUGAACCUACGUCGGAUUAACUAGUUGGUGAGGUAAUGGCUGACCAAGGCGACCAUCCAUAACUGGUCUGAGAGGAUGAUCAAUCACACUGGAACUGACACACGGUCCAGACUCAUACGGGAGGCAGCAGUGGGGAAUAUUGGACAAUGGGCGAAAGCCUGAUCCAGCCAUGCCGCGUGUGUGAAGAAGGUCUGCGGAUUGUAAAGCACUUUAAGUUGGGAGGAAGGGUUGUAAAUUAAUACUCUGCAAUUUUGACGUUACCGACAGAAUAAGCACCGGCUAACUCUGUGCCAGCAGCCGCGGUAAUACAGAGGGUGCAAGCGUUCAUCGGAAUUACUGGGCGUACAGCGCGCGUACGUGGUUUGUUAAGUUGGAUGUGAAAGCCCCGGGCUC
rnacentral:rRNA from 1 species